AGAAGAAAGAGGUCAAAAAAAACCUUGAAGUAAAUAAUUCAAAGCAUAAUCAUAAAACUUAGAUCCUGUUUUAAUGAAAAGAAACUAAAACAAAAUAACAGAAAUAGAAAAGCGUACAUACAUAAAUAAAAAAAUCUAAACAAAAUUAACGGACUAUGCAUAGUAUUAUGCAAUAACUGUAUGCAUAGUAUAACGUUUCGCAAACGUCAUCAAUAAAAUCUAAGAAAGAUGUCAAAGAAGCAAUAAAGGACAAUGAUGAUUUUAAUCCUAUGAAACCUAAACAUCUAAAAUACCAGUUGGUGAUAAUACUGAAAUAAGAUCUUGUUAUAUUUUUGAGAUAUCACCAAUUAUGUGUAACAAUUCAUCUAUCUGUCUGUUAUUUCCACACAAGAAGAAGAAAUUCCUGCAGAUUGGAACAAGUUUGCGUCCAGGACACAGCUGCGUGAAGCAGAGCAAUUCACAGCCUUUUCAAUCUGCAAUUCUCAGCCUCUUGGAACUUUCUUGGAACUUUCUUAGAACAACGAAUGAGAAGUCUAGAGAAAGCGGGUGCAGCAUCGUCAAUCUAAUCAUCUUGCAUGUAAAUUUAUAGCCUCUCAAUUUGCUUGAUCCGUUGGAACGACGGAAAAUCAGUUGAAAACAUUAGUGGACGAGCGUGGCUCCAUCAAGGCUUCAAAAAGAACAUCGUGUUUCUUCUGUAAAUAUAAUAUUAUUAAUUUAUUAGUUUAUUAGUUAUUUUACUAG